GCCUGGCACCUACAGGACAGCCACAACCAGCUCCAGUCUUCUGCAACAAAGCUAGUGACCUUCGAGCACCAGAAUCACCAGAUGGUUGGAUGGAGCUACUCUAAGUGGUUCCUAUGAGUUCUGCCCUGUGAGCUACUCAUUGAAAAGAUUUAUGUCAUCAGUUUGAAUCACGAGGACAGUCUACUGUGAAAAACAAACCAGAGGCUAAAUAUUAUUCUCAAACUCAAAGGCUAACAAUGCAGGCUAACAAUCCAGAAUUCUUAAGUCUCAAUUACCAUCAAGCUAUUAUAUAAUAUCAAGAGAGG